GCCCGGUUAGCUCAAUUGGUUAGAGCGUCAGACUUGUUAGUAGCCCUCUAAUUCACCUUUAAUAUGCAAAUGCUAAUCACCAAACAGUUAUCCCAAAGUUCAUCUGAAUGUUGCGAGUUCGAGUCUCGCAUCGGGCG
rfam:Aspergillus carbonarius ITEM 5010 unplaced genomic scaffold ASPCAscaffold_18, whole genome shotgun sequence.